GAUGAACGCUGGCGGCGUGCCUAAUACAUGCAAGUCGAGCGAACAGACGAGUAGCUUGCUCCUCUGACGUUAGCGGCGGACGGGUGAUUAACACUUGGAUAACCUACCUAUAAGACUGGGAUAACUUCGGGAAACCGUAGCUAAUACCGGAUAAUAUAUUGAACCGCAUGGUUCAGUAGUGAAAGACGGUCCUGCUGUCACUUAUAGAUGGAUCCGCGCCGCAUUAGCUAGUUGGUAAGGUAACGGCUUACCAAGGCAACGAUGCAUAGCCGACCUGAGAGGGUGAUCGGCCACACUGGAACUGAGACACGGUCCAGACUCCUACGGGAGGCAGCAGUAGGGAAUCUUCCGCAAUGGGCGAAAGCCUGACGGAGCAACGCCGCGUGAGUGAUGAAGGUCUUCGGAUCGUAAAACUCUGUUAUUAGGGAAGAACAAAUGUGUAAGUAACUAUGCACGUCUUGACGGUACCUAAUCAGAAAGCCACGGCUAACUACGUG
rnacentral:rRNA from 1 species